rnacentral:rRNA from 1 species
UUAGAGUUUGAUCCUGGCUCAGGAUGACCUUUAGCGGCAGGCUUAACACAUGCAAGUCGAGGGGCAGCGCGAGUGGCAACACUUGGCGGCGACCGGCGCAAGGGUGCGUAACGCGUGAGCAACAUGCCCUCUUCACGGGGAUAACCCGGAGAAAUCCGGCCUAAAACCCGAUGGUGAUUUGGACAGGCAUCUGUUCUAAUCUAAAACUUCGGUGGAAGAGGAUUGGCUCGCGUGACAUUAGGUGGUUGGUGGGGUAACGGCCCACCAAGCCUACGAUGUCUAGGGGAACUGAGAGGUUGGUCCCCCACACUGGAACUGAGACACGGUCCAGACUCCUACGGGAGGCAGCAGUGAGGAAUAUUGGACAAUGGAUGGAAAUCUGAUCCAGCCAUGCCGCGUGAAGGAAUACGGUCCUAUGGAUUUUAAACUUCUUUUGUACGGGAGCAAUAAGGCGCACGCGUUGCGCCGAUGAGAGUACCGUACGAAUAAGCAUCGGCUAACUCCGUGCCAGCAGCCGCGGUAAUACGGAGGAUGCGAGCGUUAUCCGGAUUUAUUGGGUUUAAAGGGUGCGUAGGCUGCGUGUCAAGUCAGCGGUGAAAUGUAAGGGCUUAACCCUUAACGUGCCGUUGAUACUGACGUGCUGGAAUUCCGUUGCCGUGGGAGGAAUGUGUAAUGUAGCGGUGAAAUGCAUAGAUAUUACACAGAACACCGAUUGCGAAGGCAUCUCACGAAGCGGUGAUUGACGCUGAUGCACGAAAGUGCGGGGAUCAAACAGGAUUAGAUACCCUGGUAGUCCGCACAGUAAAC